GAUUACUUGGCUUGGGCCCUAACCAGACAAAAUGAUGAAAUCUGAUCCAGCAAAGCUCUGGGGCAGCAUUUGUUUGCCAAAACUUGAACAAAGUUAACUGGCAGGAGUGGAUGGAGUAAAAUGCAGCAGCUGGAGUUAUACAACCUGUGCCUGAAGUCAUCCUAACAUGAGGGGUAGACUCUGAAAAAGGAAGUCACUCCUACAGCAUCAGAUCCUAUGAUUCAACCACACAGAUCUAAGCAUAUUUUGUUGUACAGGGUCCACUGCACUCCCCACAGAUGUGGCCAAAGUAAGGUGUAGUCAGAAACAAAGCACUCCUUUAUUCCAGUGCCAAAGAAAACAUGGAAAAUUCAAUCAUAUGUGGAUGGAAGGAAAGAAACAGUGAAGUGCAUGAAGGAACUAUGGGUCUUUCUAUUUUUCCCCACACCCCUCUUGCAAGCUGAAUUUCAACGGGCCAGUAGCACUGUGUAGAGACUGGACUAGAUCUUUUUUAAAUGAUUUU
rnacentral:lncRNA from 1 species